rnacentral:tRNA from 1 species
GCGUUUGUACUCCAACGGUUAGGAUACUUGCCUUCCAAGAAAUAGACCCGGGUUCGACUCCCGGCAAACGCA